UGGUUUCUUGGGGCGCCGGGGGGGGGGCGAGGCGGCAGCGUCCGUGCUGGGGAGGGACGGACGGAUAGACAGACAGCCGGGACACGCGCUUGGUUUGUUAGUGUAGGGCCCCAGGUGCCACAGGGAUAGGCAGCUUCUUCAGACCCCUGACCUGCGCUCAGCCCCCCUCCCUGCGGAAGCCCUGCGGCGGCAACCCCGAGAGGUUCUACCCCAGCCAGUGUCUGCAGAGGAGAUGCUGCCACGCCAACGGCACCUGCUACCACCGCGCCACCGAUGCGCCCCGCCAGCGCCGGAACGCCGGGAUCCUGGGGGGGAUCUGCGUGGGGGCCGCCGGGCUGUUCCUUUGCGUCUGCGUCGCCUGCAGGCUGAAGGGCAGCCGGGCGGCAGGGAAGGAGGCGGGGGAACCAAAAUCAAAGUCGGAUGCAGAGUUGGCUGAUUAUCUGAUGAAGCUGCUGGAGGAGAGCGACCAGGAGGAAGAGGAGAGGAUGGAGCCUAGGGAGGAAGAGCCAAAAGAAGGGGGGGAGUAGGGACAGGCUGGGGGGCAGCUGCCCCACCCCCACCUGGACUGCUGCACCCCUCACACAAUAAAGGGUUAAUUUUUUCCA